UCCGGUGGCUAUGGCGGAGGGGCCACACCCGUUCCCAUUUCGAACACGGUAGUUAAGCCCUCCAGCGCCGAUGGUACUGCACUCGAGAGGGUGUGGGAGAGUAGGUCGCCGCCGGGA
rnacentral:rRNA from 1 species